GACGAACGCUGGCGGCGUGCCUAAUACAUGCAAGUCGAGCGGACUUUCAAGAAGCUUGCUUUUUGAAAGUUAGCGGCGGACGGGUGAGUAACACGUGGGCAACCUGCCUGCAAGACGGGGAUAACUCCGGGAAACCGGGGCUAAUACCGGAUAAUAUCUUCCUUCGCAUGAAGGAAGGUUGAAAGGCGGCGCAAGCUGCCGCUUGCAGAUGGGCCCGCGGCGCAUUAGCUAGCUGGUGAGGUAACGGCUCACCAAGGCGACGAUGCGUAGCCGACCUGAGAGGGUGAUCGGCCACACUGGGACGGAGACACGGCCCAGACUCCUACGGGAGGCAGCAGUAGGGAAUCUUCCGCAAUAGACGAAAGUCUGACGGAGCAACGCCGCGUGAGCGAAGAAGGUCGUCGGAUCGUAAAGCUCUGUUGUCAGGGAAGAACAAGUACCGUUCGAACAGGGCGGUACCUUGACGGUACCUGACCAGAAAGCCACGGCUAACUACGUG
rnacentral:rRNA from 1 species